AAAACAGGAUACUCAUUUGCUGUUUCUGCAUCAGGGACGUUAAUGAGGCUCGACCCCCUAGGAAUCCCCAACCACUUCAGCCACUCCGUCUUCUCCAGGGCUGAUGUUUCUGUGAUGUCAUCGGUAACUAUGGCGACAGAGACACUCAGCAGCCUGGGAGCUUCACGGUCCAGAGGAACCGACUGCAGAAAGCUUUGAGACCAGCCCCCUGGUUACAGAGGAGGAAACUGAGGCUUCUUGAUUUCCCUGGAGUUGGUUGGUAGUAAGGAAAAGUGAGAUUUGCACCUCAGGCCUCUGAAUUCAUAGCCAGUGCCCCUUCCAUUCUACCAGAUUGGCUUCCUACGGACAAUCCUAGUGUCGCAGACUUAGAGCUGGAAGAGACCUCAGAGGCCAUCUGAUCCAAUUCUCUCAUUUGAUAAGGGAGAAAACUGAGACCUAAGGAGAGCUGGAGUCUACCUCCAUACUGAGUCCAGAGAACUGAAGUGAUUCGCCCCAAAACCCACAGGGAAGAACAAAGACAUCAAGCCUGGCAGGGUGCUGGCCCACUGAGAGCAGCAUGGGAACAUCACCAGAAAACACUGGAGACCUUGCAGCAUCACAGUUGUGAGAUGCCCCCUUCCCACGUAUGCCCCGGUCACAAAUGUUGUGUAGAGUGAUCCAGGACAAUUCUGAGGGACUUUUGACAAGGAAUGCUAUCUACCUCCAGAAAAAGAGCUGUUGGAGUCAGAAUGUAGAUGAAAGCAGAUGGUUUUUCAAUCGUUUAUUUGGAUUUUUGUUUGGAGGUUUUUGUUUUAUAUGAUUAUUUACUUACAAAAAUGAAUAAUAUGGAAAUACAUUUUACACGAUAAUUUGUGUAUAACCCAGAUCUAAUUGCUUGCCAGCUUUGGGAAGGGGGGAGGGAUGGGAGGGAAGGAGACAAUUAUUAUCUAACUUCAGAAAACUUUUGUGGAAGUUUGUUAUUACAUAUAAUUGGUAAAAAAAAAAUAAAUUUGGAAAAAGAAUUGAGAAAGCAAAAUAAAUAAAUAAAUAAAUGAAAAUAUUUUGUAGAUAUGUCCCUUUCCAUUUACAAUGUAGCACCAUGUGGAGGUGGGUAUAUGGGAAGAAUCUUUGUUUGCUGUAUUUUUUUUUAACCCUUAGCUUCUGUCCUGGAAUUGAUACUGGGUAUUGGUUCCAAGGCAGAAGAAAGGUAAGGGAUGGGCAAUUGGAGUUAAAUGACUUGCUCAGGGUCACACAGCUGGAAAGUGUCUGAGGACACUUUUGAACCCGGGACCUGCAGACCUGGCUGUCUAUCCAUUGUGUUCUCUAGUCAUUUCUUUUCCAGUCUUCUUACCCUUGCCACCCCCUAUCCAUGCUUCCAUCCAGGGGCAUUGGUCUCCUGGCUGUGCUACAAAUAAGACACUCUAUCUCUUGGCUCUGAGCAUUCUCUCUGGCUAGCCUCCAUAUUGGAACUCUCUUUACCCUCCUUUGACAACUGACUUCCCUGGCUUUUCAGUCUUGACUAAUACCUCACCUUCUUCAGGAAGCCUCCCUCAAUUCAAUUCUGAUUCCUUCCCUCUGUGAAUUAUUUCUUCUUUAGCUUUCUUUGUAUCUAUUUAUUUGCUGGAUGUCUCCGGUAAGUUCCUUGAGGGCAAGGCUGCCUUUUGUCUCUCUCUUUUUUUUAUCUUCUGUGCUUAACACACUGCCUGGCCCAAAGUAAUUUCCGAAUCAAUGUUUGGUGAUUGAUUGGGAACAGAGCUUUGCUGGAGAAUCAGAGAGAUGCAGCCAUUCUUCCUGAUCAUCUAGCCACAACCCCAGCUUCUGUGCUUCCAGUUGGAGUUAGAACUGGCACUCAGUCCUUUUUUUUCCUCUUCCUAGGACUGAAUGAAAGAGGGCAGACUAGGGUAUUAUUUGAAGGCUCCCAAGGGGGCAAAAGUGAUAGCUGAAGUCUUCCUCCUAUUUCAGACAAAAUACUAGAGAAAUACUAGCUUUUUAGAGACAGAACUUGUUGGUACAAGGAGCUGGAUGAAAGAGCGGGGGCCAAAACUGCUAUGUUUUUAUUUAGCAUUUUGUUGGGAAACCUAUGGAAGAAUUUCAUGUAUAAUACAGGUCUGUACUAAAUUUUCUGUAUCACUAGAGGCCAGAAACAACUCCCCAAACUCCCUCUGAUAAGAGAGAACCAGCUCUAACAGUAGAUAUUUGUGACUAAAUUACAAGUCAAGGAAUCCCAAGAAUUUCCUGUAGCUUAAUCAAAUUGCUUUCCUAAGUAGCAUUAAUGGAGAAAAAAGCAUUCCCCCAGAGCAGUGUCUUACAAGUAGUGGACAUUCAAUAAGUUCUGAUGGAUGAGUUACUGGCCAGGCAGCAGGAACAGUUAAGAAAACUGAAAUCAGGGUGACCCAGUAGCUUACCUUAAUACUUCAAAAGAACUGUUAUGGGGGGGUCUUUUUUUAACCCCCUUUUGGUAUUAGAAUCCCUGGACUCUAUUUUGAAGUCAUUUCUUUCUUCUGGGUUGGUGUCUUUUUUGUUUGUUUGUUUUGCUUAUUUGUCCUUCUAAUACUGCCUGAUUUCUUUUUUCUAAUGACAAAAAUUUUAUUUACUAAUUACGUGGAAUAACAAAUGUCCACAUAAGUUUUCUGAAAUUCGAUGAUCCAUAUUGUCUCCUUCCCCCUUCCAGAGCUGACAAGCAAUUCAAUCUGGGUUAUACAUGUAUUAUCACACAAAGCACAUUUCCGUAUUGUUCAUGUUUGUAAGUGAAUAAUCUUAUACAGCCAACCCCCCAAACAUAUUCCCAAAUAAACAAGUGGAAAGGCACGUGCUUUCGUCUACAUUCCGGCUCCCACAGUUCUUUCACUGAAGGUGGAGAGCAUUCUUUUUCGAAAGUCGGGGCUGUGUCUUAAGCAUCUCUGGUGUCAUAAUAGCUUUUUUAAUGAUGUGAUUCUUUUUCCCUCAUUCUUCCAGUUUACUUCAUGCCUUCAGACUCUGUGUUAAAGUCUGAUCCGAGUAGUUGUGGCUUAGGGUAUCAAAUGUUGAGUUAUUCCAAGAUCUUAGAGGCAGCUCAGGCUGGGCCAUCUCUAGACUUUCUGCACUCCCAGAGUGUCUGAUCCAGGCACAGUGGGAUUACAAGUUUCUGACUUGGGUUUGGGUUAAAGCAACCCUACUCCUAUGGGCUUAUUCUGGCCGUGGUUCCAGGAGGCUGCUGCUACACAACUCUCAACUAUCUAGAAAGUUCUGCUGUUUAGAUUGAGGGAACUGUGGCUGCCACUUUGGUCUGGGCUUCCUGCCUAAGUUAUUGCUCUCUGGGCUGCACGCAGGACUGUGAGAUGAAAGUGAGACCUUGCUAUGAGCCGCAGAGCUCUUGGACCCUUUUAUUUAGCUCAGCACAUCCUAAUGGUGGAGACUAACCUCUCCUCUCCUUGGAACAUCACUCCUAGGCUCGGGUUCCAGAUCUCUGAUCCGCAGCUGGGAAAUUAGUGAUAGAGCUGCAGUUGGCACCUGUUCCUGCACUCUCUACAAGUUCAGACCCCUCUCACUGCAUCUGGGACCCCUUUUUGACCUGGGACACAGCCUCUCCCUGGUAGAAUGAAUGCUCUAGACAGUGCUCUCUUGGCCAGAUCCUGGCCCCUGGUGUCCACAGAUUGCUCUAACUCCCUUUGUUGCCCUGGGCUGAAAAAAAAAAGACUUGUUUUUAAUCUUUCUUAGAUUUUCCUAUAAGAUCUGGAGCAUUUUUCUAGUGUGGAAGACCUAGGGGCAGGAGGAGACCUCAGCUAUCCUUUUUUUCCAUAUUCCUUUAACGGGUUUUCCCCCUCCUUUAAUGAUUUUUUUUAAACCCUUAUCUUCUGUCUUGAAAUUAAUACUGUGUAUUGGUUUCAAGACCAAGGCAGAAGAGUGGUAAGGGCUAGGCAAUGGUGGUCAAGUGACUUGCCCAGGGUCACCCAGUUGGAAAGUGUCUGAGGCUGGAUUUGAACCCACCAAUGACCUUUUUAGAAUUCUCCUCCCUUGUGAAUUGCUGCUGUUUUGGGUUAUAGUUCUCUCUUUCUUGGGAGCUAUUCUUUCUUUCCUUGGCUCAGCUUGCACUGCUCUCUCCUGGCCCAUUGCCCAACUAUAUGAUUCCAUAUUGACUUCCUCAUUUCUUUUGCUGGUUCAUCAUCCAUCUCUAGCCCGCUACACAUUGGCUGUCCUCAGAGACUGUCUUCAGCGCUCUUCUCCUCUCUCUCCAACCUCACUUGCUUGGUGAGCUCAUCUUAUCCCAGGGGUUCAAUAAUCAUUGCUUUGCAGGUGACUCCCAGCCCUAAUGUCUCUCCUGAGCUCCAGCCCUGAAUCACAGUGGCCUGAUUGUCCUCUCCAUCCAGAUGUUGUGAAUACACAUAAAAAUCAUGUCCAAAACAGGACUCCUUCUCCUUCUCCUUAUCCCUGCCCUACUUCCAAGCAUUAUAUGUGUUGAGGGUAUCACCAUCUCUGCAGCCGUCCAGAUUCAACAGAACAAGCAGUGGCAAUAGAGCAAGCCUUUAUUAGACACUUACUGCCCCUGCCUUCGAGGAGCUAACAUUGGAGGAGGGGGAGAGGACACGCAGACCACCUAUCCAGGCAAGGUGCAGAAUAAUGUGUAAAUGAGGUCACCUCAGAGAGAAGGCUUCAGCAGUACGGGGACAAAGAAUGUGGGGUUGGAGCUGACUUUUAAGGGAGAUUCAUAAUUCUAGAAUCCCCCUGCCCUCUCCCUUGUCCCAUCCCUCUCCCUGCACCCAGUCAGUCACUCACUGUGUCCCGUCAGUCCUCCCUUCAGAGCAUCUCUUGGAUCUGCCCCUUUCCUCCACCCACCCAGCCACCGGCUUCGUUCAGGUCCUCGUUACCUUCCUCUUGACUGUUAGAGUAGCUUCCUCAUUGGUUUCUCUGCUUCUCAGCUCUCCUGUCUAAUCCAUCCUUUCCAAAACUGCCCACAAUAAGCCGGCUUCGCAGAUGUGGCCGGGUCACUCCCCUACCAAAAUACUUCCAAUGAUCCCCUGUUGCUUCUGGGAUAAAAUUAAAACUCUCCAGCUCGGCAUUUAUAGCCCUUCAUAAUCUGGCUCCAACUUUUCUUUCUGACCUAAUUUCUCCAUAUUCACCUUCACAGCUAAAAUGGAAUUCCAGCUGUCCUGAAACUUGACAUGGCACAAAUGGCUUCCCUGCGUUAUGUAGGUGUUCCUCAUCUCUUGCAUGCCCUCUCCCUUUAAUUAUGCCUCUCAGAACCCUCUUACGGAUCAGUUCAGAUAUCCUCAGGAUGAGAAGGCAGGCCAAAUUGCCUCCACUUUGCCCACCAAUGCUCCCUUGAGAUCUUUUUAAAAAUAAUUAAAAAUUGUAUUGAAUAAGUUUUUUUUAAUGUUCUAGAAUAGCUAGAAGAGAUACAAAUAUUAUUAACAUGGGGCGAUGCCAAUAAGUAGUUAGACAAUAUUUUUAAA